rnacentral:rRNA from 1 species
AAAAAGCUUCAAACUGGGAUUAGAUACCCCACUAUGCUUAGCCCUAAACCUAGAUAUUUAUUCUACAAAAAAUAUCCGCCAGGGAAUACGAGCGUUAGCUUAAAACCCAAAGGACUUGACGGUGUCUCAGACCCACCUAGAGGAGCCUGUUCUAGAACCGAUAAUCCACGUUAAACCUCACCACCCCUUGUUUUCCCCGCCUAUAUACCGCCGUCGCAAGCUUACCCUGUGAAGGACAAACAGUAAGCAGGAUGGGUAUACCCCAGAACGUCAGGUCGAGGUGUAGCUUACGAGGUGGGAAGAAAUGGGCUACAUUUUCUUCAUCAGAAUAUACGAAUGGCAUUAUGAAACUUGAUGCCUGAAGGUGGAUUUAGUAGUAAAAAUCAAAUAGAGAGUCAUUUUGAAUUAGGCUCUGAGACGCGCACACACCGCCCCGUCACCCUCUGCAGUCA